CUACCGUUUGCAACGACACUUAAGACAAACUGGCAGAGUCCAAUUCCGGCUGGCAGGAAGCCGGGUGCUGUGGCAGGCUGAUUAGGCUGUGUGGGCACAAAGAGGCUUGGGACUGAAAUGCAGGCCACAGAAUUUUCACCUAGUGAUUCCUCCGUCCAGCCUCGUAGCUUGUGCUUGACCUACAGCAUCUUUUAGAAAUGCCUGAGCAAUCUUGAUUUGAAGGCUCCAAAUGAUGGAGAAUCCACCACACUUCUAGUGAGCAAGCAAAAGUCUAACAGCUGAACUGAUGUGCCUGAAAGACUCCUGGCAGGCAAUCCAUCAAGCAAGUAUUGAUUAGAACUGCCGCAGCAGCCAUUUUGCACAGCUCUCCACCGACCUGCACAACCGCGAAGGCUCAGAUGCUGGAGGCCAUGGCAGCUGCACGGAAGAGAUGCUGGAAUGCUUUUUCACUACAUGUCCCCCAGUUACAGCCUCGGGGGCAGCUAUGAGACGGUGGAUACAAAAGAGUAUUCUAUUUUUAUUAACGUCCCCUGCAGAUAGAGAAAAAGAAACCAACGUCAGGCCUGCUUUGUGCUUUCUUCUUUCUUCUUCUGCUUUCUUCUUGUGGCCCUUCAAUUGCAAAAGGAACCUCAGGCGAAUGGGAUUGGGAAUACUGCCAAAUUAAUAACACACGGUCACUUCCCAGUGUCAAUGAGUGGGAGAGCUGCAUCUCGCUUUAUUGUUGUCAGGUUUUCCUGGGUAGCUGGAGUUGGGGUUCCCUUAUUUCCUCCAGGCCAGGGGGGCAAAGUGGGAAAUUCUUUGUUGA